GAUGAGCGCUGGCGGCGUGCCUAAUACAUGCAAGUCGAGCGAACGGACGAGAAGCUUGCUUCUCUGAUGUUAGCGGCGGACGGGUGAGUAACACGUGGAUAACCUACCUAUAAGACUGGGAUAACUUCGGGAAACCGGAGCUAAUACCGGAUAAUAUUUUGAACCGCAUGGUUCAAAAGUGAUAGACGGUCUUGCUGUCACUUAUAGAUGGAUCCGCGCUGCAUUAGCUAGUUGGUAAGGUAACGGCUUACCAAGGCAACGAUGCAUAGCCGACCUGAGAGGGUGAUCGGCCACACUGGAACUGAGACACGGUCCAGACUCCUACGGGAGGCAGCAGUAGGGAAUCUUCCGCAAUGGGCGAAAGCCUGACGGAGCAACGCCGCGUGAGUGAUGAAGGUCUUCGGAUCGUAAAACUCUGUUAUUAGGGAAGAACAUAUGUGUAAGUAACUGUGCACAUCUUGACGGUACCUAAUCAGAAAGCCACGGCUAACUACGUG
rnacentral:rRNA from 1 species